rnacentral:rRNA from 1 species
GUCGACGGAGGUUACUUCGUAGCGAUCUUCGGAUCAAGCGAUAUAACUCGAGUGGCGGACGGGUGAGUAACACGUGAGUAACCUGCCUUUUGCUGGAGAAUAACUGUGGGAAACCAUGGCUAAUACCGCAUGUUGUGCAUGACAAGCAUCUGUUGUGUAUGAAAGGAGAAAUCCGGCAGAAGAUGGGCUCGCGUCCGAUUAGGUAGUUGGUGGGGUAACGGCCUACCAAGCCCGCGAUCGGUAGCCGGACUGAGAGGUCGAACGGCCACAUUGGGACUGAGACACGGCCCAGACUCCUACGGGAGGCAGCAGUGGGGAAUUAUUGGGCAAUGGGGCGAAAGCCCUGACCCCAGCGACGCCGCGUGA